UACGGGGGGGGCAAGCGUUGUUCGGAAUUACUGGGCGUAAAGGCUCGUAGGCGGCCAACUAAGUCAGACGUGAAAUCCCUCGGCUUAACCGGGGAACUGCGUCUGAUACUGGAUGGCUUGAGUGUGGGAGAGGAAUGCGGAAUUCCAGGUGUAGCGGUGAAAUGCGUAGAUAUCUGGAGGAACACCGGUGGCGAAGGCGGCAGUUCUGGACCAUUACUGACGCUGAGGAGCGAAAGCCAGGGGAGCAAACGGG
rnacentral:rRNA from 1 species